CUACAUCUGACGAGUCCCAAAUAGGAUGAAACACGCGUCCUGGAU
rnacentral:hammerhead_ribozyme from 1 species